rnacentral:rRNA from 1 species
ACAAAAGUGAUUCCGUGAGUAGUGGCGAGCGAAAUCGGAUGAGGCUAAACCUGGUCUGUGUGAUACCCGGCAGGGGUUGCAGGUUGGGGGUUGUGGGACGUAUCAGGGCUGUCUGCCGACGGUCCGGCGUGGACGUAUAGCGAUAGUCGAAGUCGUGUUGAGCGCGACGGCGUAGAGGGUGUGACCCCCGUAGACGAAAUCGAUGUACGGCGCGAUGCUGUUCCCAAGUAACACCGGACCCGUGAAAUCUGGUGUGAAUCUGCCAGGACCACCUGGUAAGCCUAAAUACUACCUCUUGACCGAUAGCGGACAAGUACCGUGAGGGAAAGGUGAAAAGUACCCCGGGAGGGGAGUG